GACAGAGGCCACGAACGUUGUUCGGAAUCACUGGGCAUAAAGCGCACGUAGGCGGCUAGGUCCGUCCGAUGUGAAAGCCCCCGGCUCAACCGGGGAAUUGCAUCGGAUACAGCCUGGCUUGAGGCUGGGAGGGGCUGGUGGAAUUCCCUGUGUAGCGGUGAAAUGCGUAGAGAUGGGGGAGAACACUCGUGGCGAAGGCGGCCAGCUAGACCAGUUCUGACACUGAGGCGCGACAGCGUGGGGAGCAAACAGG
rnacentral:rRNA from 1 species